rnacentral:rRNA from 1 species
AUUGAACGCUGGCGGCAGGCCUAACACAUGCAAGUCGAACGAACCCUUCGGGGUUAGUGGCGGACGGGUGAGUAACACGUGGGAACGUGCCUUUUGGUUCGGAAUAGCUCCUGGGAACGGGUGGUAAUGCCGAAUGUGCCCUUUGGGGGAAAGAUUUAUCGCCAUUAGAGCGGCCCGCGUCUGAUUAGCUAGUUGGUGAGGUAAAGGCUCACCAAGGCGACGAUCAGUAGCUGGUCUGAGAGGAUGACCAGCCACAUUGGGACUGAGACACGGCCCAAACUCCUACGGGAGGCAGCAGUGGGGAAUCUUGCGCAAUGGGCGAAAGCCUGACGCAGCCAUGCCGCGUGAAUGAUGAAGGUCUUAGGAUUGUAAAAUUCUUUCACCGGGGACGAUAAUGACGGUACCCGGAGAAGAAGCCCCGGCUAACUUCGUGCCAGCCGCCGCUGUAACAC